UGAUUGGUUUACAGAUUCAACCAAUGAAAUUGAAGCAGAGGCGGGAUCAAGUUUUUUUUUUUUGGCGGGAUUCUAGAUACGUUAUCGACUGUUGAUAGAUCGCGGGUUUUGUAGAGCUUAUUCCUCUGCUUUCAAGGAGCAUUUCUUUCUGAGAAAAAUGAAUGUCUUACAAAUUAUGAAGUCUGGAGGACUGCAUGGAAGAGGCAUCGGAAGGAUUGGACCCUAUCCACUUUACAUGGAGAGUUUUGAAUCCCUCAUAGAAAACAACGAAGUAUCUGAUGAGAUAAUGGAUGCCUUGUUCCAUCUGUUCAGCAGG